rnacentral:tRNA from 1 species
CUCCUGAAUGCAACUCAAGCACUUUAAUUAAGCUAAAGCCUCUCUGAAUAGACGGGCCUUGAUCCCGCGAUAUAUUAAUUAACAGCUAACUACCCAAACCAGCGGGCUUCUAUUCGCUUCUCCCGUUGGUUUGGAAACG